rnacentral:rRNA from 1 species
UACGUAGGGGGCAAGCGUUGUCCGGAUUUAUUGGGCGUAAAGAGCGGUGUAGGCGGCCUGAAAGGUCAGCUGUGAAAACUCGAGGCUCAACCUCGAGACGUCGGUUGAAACCAUCUGGCUAGAGUCCGGAAGAGGAGUGUGGAAUUCCCGGUGAUAGCGGUGAAAUGCGCAGAUAUCGGGAAGAACACCCGUGGCGAAGGCGGCACUCUGGGACGGUACUGACGCUGAGGAGCGAAAGCGUGGGGAGCCGAACGAGG